rfam:TPA: Bos taurus chromosome X, whole genome shotgun sequence.
UCCCUUGUAGCUUAGCUGGUAAAGAAUCUGCCUGUAAUGCAGGAGACCUGGGUUCUAUCCCUGGGUAGGGAA